GUAACAAGGUUUCCGUAGGUGAACCUGCGGAAGGAUCAUUACUGAGUGCGGGCUGCCUCCGGGCGCCCAACCUCCCACCCGUGAAUACCUAACACUGUUGCUUCGGCGGGGAACCCCCUCGGGGGCGAGCCGCCGGGGACUACUGAACUUCAUGCCUGAGAGUGAUGCAGUCUGAGUCUGAAUAUAAAAUCAGUCAAAACUUUCAACAAUGGAUCUCUUGGUUCCGGCAUCGAUGAAGAACGCAGCGAACUGCGAUAAGUAAUGUGAAUUGCAGAAUUCAGUGAAUCAUCGAGUCUUUGAACGCACAUUGCGCCCCCUGGCAUUCCGGGGGGCAUGCCUGUCCGAGCGUCAUUGCUGCCCAUCAAGCCCGGCUUGUGUGUUGGGUCGUCGUCCCCCCCGGGGGACGGGCCCGAAAGGCAGCGGCGGCACCGUGUCCGGUCCUCGAGCGUAUGGGGCUUUGUCACCCGCUCGACUAGGGCCGGCCGGGCGCCAGCCGACGUCUCCAACCAUUUUUCUUCAGGUUGACCUCGGAUCAGGUAGGGAUACCCGCUGAACUUAAGCAUAUCAAUAA
rnacentral:misc_RNA from 1 species